CUGUGUGUGUGGCCAGAGACAAAAAUGGGAAGAUGAAAGGGAAAGAGUCAGCUUGAGCUUGAAAAGCCAUUGAUCAAGAAGCCAACCUGGUGUGUUCUCCAGAUGCCUCAUGCCUCCUCUCUCCUCCACAUCCACUGCCCUCACCUGAUGGCUCCAACCAGCUUCCUCUCAGUGGCUCGAUCCAGGCAUGGCUCAAGAACUCUUAGCAGCUGCCUGCUGAACCAUGAAGAAACUUAAAAUAGCGAUGAUCUCCCUUCCACGCUGCCUCUUCCCCCAAUAGAACCCGCAAGCCAAUCGGUGGUGUUUAUACUUGAGGCCAUAUGAAGCUAAUCUGUAUGGAAAUAAAGGAUAGAAAUAUUCAGAUUGAGUUUUACUAAGUGAACCUGAGGUUUUUCUGUUUAGCAAAAUAGGCCAGGUAAAUGCGUUUCUGAUACAGAAUAAAUCACUUGUUUGAAGACCUAUAUUCCCUUUUGCCAUUUUGCUUAGAAGUGGAGAAUUCACAGUCCUCUGCAGAAACUGUGAAAUGCACAAGUCCCUUCUCUCCCCUCUCCUCCUCCAUCUGCUCCUCCCCACUAGGUAGUUCCCCGAGCUGAACUCAUCUUCCCAUUAGGGUCUGAGAGCCCUACUCUCCCAGCCUAGGUCUGGAGGUGCCUAGGCUCUUUGCAAAG